UCGCCAAUAUGCUAAGAAGAACCGAAGAAGAAGAAGAAGAAGAAAAGAAAAAAAGGAAGAAGCAAUGGUAAAGGUGUAGUUAGCAUUAGCAGCUAACCCUCCAGAAUUAGCAGCUACACGUGAAGUGACCACAGUAAACAGAACUGACAGGAUUUUUUUCCUUCUUUUUUUGACUAGAGGCCCGCUACCUUUCAGUGUGUCUACAUAUGUAAAGCCUUCAACAUUACUGGAACUGGGAGAGCGGUGUGUUUGUGUCACUGUGAGCCUUCAUCAGCCGUGAGUAGCGCCAAGUUCAAAACUGCAGCGGACUGCGAGUUGAACCUGUGGAUGAGUGCGUGCACCAUCUGGCUUGAAAGCUAGUUUUAGGUCAGCGCACGCCGACAUAUUUCUCAACGAUUUUGAAAAUAACGUUACUGGACAUUGGUUGCAUAGUUGAAUUUUAAGAUGAACUUAAUCUGAGGACCAGAUCAACAAUUAAAUAUCAGGGGUGUCAUAUGGAAAAUGACUCACCAUGGAUGGACUUUAUAGUGUGGAUGUUUCUGCACCGAGGGAGAGGAGUAAAAUUCGGUUCAAGGAGUGAUGGGGCUGGAGCUCCUUUUGUUCCAGGCCCUGCCUAUCAAGCCAGAGUGCCAGCUUAUCAAAAUGAACAUUACCAUAACACUAGAUCCGCUGGCAUCUCAGACGCAAACAAAGGAAAUACCAAAGCAUACGGGAAAUUAAAUCUGAAGGUCACAAACCACCAAGGACCGUCAAGCAAAUUAAAGAAGCAGAAGGAGAGAGGUAAAUAGAGAAAGAGAAGAGUAAAAAAUAAGUCUCCCCUGCUGUGGGGAGCUGGGACCCUGUUUUUGUUGAGCUGGUUUUUUUUCCUGCCUUCCUUAAAUGAGGUCUGCUGAAUCCUUCUCAUACCAA